rnacentral:rRNA from 1 species
UACGAAGGGUGCAAGCGUUACUCGGAAUUACUGGGCGUAAAGCGUGCGUAGGUGGUUCGUUAAGUCUGAUGUGAAAGCCCUGGGCUCAACCUGGGAAUGGCAUUGGAUACUGGCGGACUGGAGUGCGGUAGAGGAUGGCGGAAUUCCCGGUGUAGCAGUGAAAUGCGUAGAGAUCGGGAGGAACAUCUGUGGCGAAGGCGGCCAUCUGGACCAGCACUGACACUGAGGCACGAAAGCCAGGGGAGCAAACGGG